rnacentral:rRNA from 1 species
AGAUUGAACGCUGGCGGCAUGCCUUACACAUGCAAGUCGAACGGCAGCACGGGAGCAAUCCUGGUGGCGAGUGGCGAACGGGUGAGUAAUAUAUCGGAACGUGCCCAGUCGUGGGGGAUAACGCAGCGAAAGCUGUGCUAAUACCGCAUACGAUCUAUGGAUGAAAGCGGGGGAUCGCAAGACCUCGCGCGAUUGGAGCGGCCGAUAUCAGAUUAGCUAGUUGGUGGGGUAAAAGCCUACCAAGGCGACGAUCUGUAGCUGGUCUGAGAGGACGACCAGCCACACUGGAACUGAGACACGGUCCAGACUCCUACGGGAGGCAGCAGUGGGGAAUUUUGGACAAUGGGCGCAAGCCUGAUCCAGCAAUGCCGCGUGCAGGAUGAAGGCCUUGGUUGUAAACUGUCUUUUGUACGGAACGAAACGGUUCUCUACUAAUACGAGGGACUAAGUGACGGUACCGUAAGAAUAAGCGACCGGUCUAACUACGUACG